rnacentral:lncRNA from 1 species
CUGUUUUGCAUUGUUUCCAUGGUAACGGCAGACAUUUUGGAAAUUCCAACGCCAAAUUCCACAUCUACCAAUGUUGCUCAUCGUUACUGUGAAGUUUUAUAAAAUUUGGAGCAUUUCCAUAUUUUUGAAAUUUUUGGUGUAGUAUCCAUGGCAACAUAGCAGUUCCAAUGAUUGCCAAAAUCAUCCCAAAGCAGUAUAUAGUGGGCACCUACAUUGUAUUAAAAUCUAAAGAUUUUAAGGUUAAGCAUUCUCAAACAAUUCACCUAACUCCAAAAUUAUAUUUUUUCACCAUUUUUCCGUUUCCAUGGUGAUGGCAGCCAUUUUUUAGUGCCAAUAUUGAAAAGCAACAGGAAAGUCAGGGUUCCUUGUUAUAGUGCACCAUCAUUCAGAUUGGUUCCUUUGGCUCUGAGAAAACGAGCCGGACAAAAUUAGGUGGAAGAAAAAUAAUAAUAACUAGAUUUGCCAUUGCAAGCAAUAGCGGAUGGCACCCUUCCCCUAUUGCCAGGUGAGCGGUAGCCAUGGUAACGGCGGCCAUUUUGGAAAUUCCAAACUCAAAAGUCAAGUCUACAUUAGCUGAGCAACAUUUGUUUUAAAUUUCAAUAAAUUUGAAGCAUUUUGAAGUUUUUUUGUAUUUUUGCUGUUUCCAUGGUAACGGCGGCCAUUUUGAAUAUUCCAAAGUCAAACCCCCGCUGCAAUUUUUUCCCUCCAUAAUCAUAUACCAUUUAAUGUCUCUAGAAUAAAUUUAACAUUGAUGUUCUAGAAUGUUCUGUGAAAAUUCAAAGUUUUGACCUUUUUGCAUUGUUUCCAUGGUAACAACAGAUAUUUUGGAAAUUCCAACGCCAAAUUCCACAUCUUCCAAUGUUGCUCAUCGUUACUGUGAAGUUUCAUGAAGUUUGGAGCAUUUUGAGAAUUUUUGAAAUUUUUUGGUGUAGUUUCCAUGGCAACAUAGUAGUUCCAAUGAGUGCCAAAAUCAUCCAACACCUGUAUAUAGUGGGCACCUACAUUGUAUUAAAAUAUAAUGAUUCUGAGUUAAAGCAUAUCCAAACAGUUCACCAAAACAAAAAACUGGAUUUUUUCACAUUUGUUCUGUUUCCAUGGUAACGGCAGCCAUCUUGAAA